rnacentral:rRNA from 1 species
GAUGAGCAUGCGUCCCAUUAGCUAGUUGGUAAGGUAACGGCUUACCAAGGCAACGAUGGGUAGGGGUCCUGAGAGGGAGAUCCCCCACACUGGUACUGAGACACGGACCAGACUCCUACGGGAGGCAGCAGUGAGGAAUAUUGGUCAAUGGGCGCAAGCCUGAACCAGCCAUGCCGCGUGCAGGAUGAAGCAUCUAUGGUGUGUAAACUGCUUUUGUACGAGAAGAAACACUCCUUCGUGAAGGAGCUUGACGGUAUCGUAAGAAUAAGGACCGGCUAACUCCGUGCCAGCAGCCGCGGUAAUACGGAGGGUCCAAGCGUUAUCCGGAAUCAUUGGGUUUAAAGGGUCCGUAGGCGGUUUUGUAAGUCAGUGGUGAAAGCCCAUCGCUCAACGGUGGAACGGCCAUUGAUACUGCAAGACUUGAAUUAUUGUGAAGUAACUAGAAUAUGUAGUGUAGCGGU